rnacentral:rRNA from 1 species
UACGUAGGGGGGCUAGCGUUGUCCGGAAUCACUGGGCGUAAAGGGCGCGUAGGCGGCAGGCCAAGCGUGCGGUGAAAGUCCGGGGCUCAACCCCGGAUCUGCCGUGCGGACUGGUUUGCUGGAGCACUGUAGAGGCGAGUGGAAUUCCGGGUGUAGCGGUGGAAUGCGUAGAUAUCAGGAGGAACACCGGUGGCGAAGGCGGUUCUCUGGGCAUUACCUGACGCUGAGGAGCGAAAGCGUGGGGAGCAAACAGG